GUUGGUGGAGCGAUUUGUCUGGUU
rnacentral:ncRNA from 4 species